GAUGAAGAACGUAGUGAAAUGCGAUAAGUAAUGUGAAUUGCAGAAUUCAGUGAAUCAUCGAAUCUUUGAACGCACAUUGCGCCCCUUGGUAUUCCGAGGGGCAUGCCUAUUCGAGCGUCAUUAUCACCCCUCAAGCCUAGCUUGGUGUUGAGGCCUGCUGUCAAGGCAGCCUCUAAAAUCAGUGGCAGUGCUGUCAGGCUCUAAGCGUAGUAAAUCUAAUCGCUAUAGACACCUGGUGGACACUCGCCAGAACCCCCCCCAUUUUUUAAUGAUUGACCUCGGAUUAGGUAGGGAUACCCGCUGAACUUAAGCAUAUCAAUAAGCGGAGGA
rnacentral:misc_RNA from 1 species